UACCUGCAGCUCGAGUGGUAACCGCUAUUAUUGGGCCUAAAGCGUCCGUAGCCGGUUUGGUAAAUAUCUGGGUAAAUCGUGAGGCUUAACUUCACGAAUUUCGGAUAGACUGCCAGACUUGGGAUCGGGGGAGGUCAGAGGUACUCCAGGGGUAGCGGUGAAAUGUUGUAAUCCUUGGAGGACCACCGGUAGCGAAGGCGUCUGACUAGAACGAGUCCGACGGUGAGGGACGAAGCCCUGGGGCGCAAACCGGAUUAGAUACCCGGGUAGUCCAGGGUGUAAACGAUGUGGGCUUUGUAUUGGAGGUCCCACGUGGGCGUCCAGUGCAGAAGAGAAGUUGUUAAGCCCACCGCCUGGGAAGUACGGUCGCAAGGCUGAAACUUAAAGGAAUUGGCGGGGGAGCACAGCAACGGGAGGAGCGUGCGGUUU
rnacentral:rRNA from 1 species